GGCCAGAUAGCUCAGUCGGUAGAGCAGCGGACUGAAAAUCCGCGUGUCCCUGGUUCGAUUCCUGGUCUGGCCA
rnacentral:tRNA from 1 species